rnacentral:lncRNA from 1 species
GGGAAAUAAGUACUCAGAAAAUCCAAUAUAUAUAGAGCUUGUUGAUGUUAUAUCUACAACAAAAUAUGCAACGAGGUAAUAGUACAUCACCCAAGGAUAAAUUUUAAUAAAAAAUAGCUAGUUGCAGAAUACUCUCUUAUAAUAGCUGAGUGCAUCAAACAAGGUAUAGAAGUUGCAGUAAUCGAGGAAAAUGACUGAACUUUCAGGAUGUUAUGAACAAAAACCACGAAAAUAUCAGAUGGCCCAAGAAAGACAGAAGCUUGCUUUUGUGUUGAAGAUCC